GAUCCAUAGUUUCUCUUGUUCUGCACAUCCACUAACUUCAGGAACCAUGUCCCAGUUUCAGGUUAGAUCAAGUGGGAAAACAAAUGGAAGAUUGUGGCUAUGCAGAAACUGGAACUAUUCGUC